rnacentral:rRNA from 1 species
GACGAACGCUGGCGGCGUGCUUAACACAUGCAAGUCGAACGAAGAGCGAUGGAAGCUUGCUUCUAUCAAUCUUAGUGGCGAACGGGUGAGUAACGCGUAAUCAACCUGCCCUUCAGAGGGGGACAACAGUUGGAAACGACUGCUAAUACCGCAUACGAUCUAAUCUCGGCAUCGAGGAUAGAUGAAAGGUGGCCUCUACAUGUAAGCUAUCACUGAAGGAGGGGAUUGCGUCUGAUUAGCUAGUUGGAGGGGUAACGGCCCACCAAGGCGAUGAUCAGUAGCCGGUCUUAGAGGAUGAACGGCCACAUUGGGACUGAGACACGGCCCAGACUCCUACGGGAGGCAGCAGUGGGGAAUCUUCCGCAAUGGACGAAAGUCUUACGGAGCAACGCCGCGUGAGUGAUGACGGCCUUCGGGUUGUAAAGCUCUGUUAAUCGGGACGAAAGGCCUUCUUGCGAAUAGGGAGAAGGAUUGACGGUACCGGAAUAGAAAGCCACGGCUAACUACGUG